GACAGACGACUUGACCAUAGAGAAAUAAACUCAUGCAUAUAGACCUGUAUCUCUCUGUACGUCAAGCCUGGAUUGGCCAUCUGGAAAACAGAGAAGAUGCCUGGUUGGCCGCCCUGGAUUGUACCUGCAGCUGGUAGGUUUCAUUGUCCCCACAGGUCCUGCUGGAGGAUCAGGGACAAGGUACAGAGCCUUUGAAGACGUGCCAGAGGUGACUGAAUUGUCCAAUGGGUGCAAAUUAUCACAGGACAAUUAAAGACUUUCUUAUCCGUCAGCCAACUUGGAAUGAAUGAUCUCGGUGAAAAUAGAAACAAACAGGAUUUUUCGUUUCCGACUUCGUUUUCCAGAUCUAGAUGUUUUACCCGAUAGGGUGCAUCAGAUCGGAGAUUGUAACACCCUUCAUUUACAAGGGCAAUUAAUAAUAAAUCACA